rnacentral:rRNA from 1 species
AUUGAACGCUGGCGGCAGGCCUAACACAUGCAAGUCGAGCGAGAGGCGGACGGGUGAGUAAUGUAUGGGGACUGCCCGAUAGAGGGGGAUAACUACUGGAAACGGAGGCUAAUACAGCAUACUGUCGGAUAACCCAUAUGGGAUUAGCUAGUAGGUAAGGUAAUGGAUUACGUAGGCGACGAUCCCUAGCUGGUCUGAGAGGAUUAUCAGCCACACUGGGACUGGUACACUGCCCAGACUCCGACGGAGGCAGCAGUGGGGAAUAUUGCACAAUUGGCGCAAUCCUGAUGCAGCCAUGCCGCGUGUAUGAAGAAGGCCCUAGGGUUGUAAAGUACUUUCAGUCGGGAGGCGUUACCGACAGAAGAAGCACCGGCUAACUCCGUGCCAGCAGCCGCGGUAAUUC